GAUAGGACCUUUAGGCGCAUGUCUUUAGGUGGAAAGCUUUUGCGGUGUGGGAUGGGCCCGCGGCCUAUCAGCUUGUUGGUGGGGUGAUGGCCUACCAAGGCGACGACGGGUAGCCGGCCUGAGAGGGUGUCCGGCCACACUGGGACUGAGAUACGGCCCAGACUCCUACGGGAGGCAGCAGUGGGGAAUAUUGCACAAUGGGCGCAAGCCUGAUGCAGCGACGCCGCGUGGGGGAUGACGGCCUUCGGGUUGUAAACCUCUUUCACCAUCGACGAAGGUUCGGGUUUUCUCGGAUUGACGGUAGGUGGAGAAGAAGCACCGGCCAACUACGUGCCAGCAGCCGCGGUAAUACGUAGGGUGCGAGCGUUGUCCGGAAUUACUGGGCGUAAAGAGCUCGUAGGUGGUUUGUCGCGUUGUUCGUGAAAUCUCACGGCUUAACUGUGAGCGUGCGGGCGAUACGGGCAGACUAGAGUACUGCAGGGGAGACUGGAAUUCCUGGUGUAGCGGUGGAAUGCGCAGAUAUCAGGAGGAACACCGGUGGCGAAGGCGGGUCUCUGGGCAGUAACUGACGCUGAGGAGCGAAAGCGUGGGGAGCGAACAGGAUUAGAUACCCUGGUAGUCCACGCCGUAAACGGUGGGUACUAGGUGUGGGUUUCCUUCCUUGGGAUCCGUGCCGUANCUAACGCAUUAAGUACCCCGCCUGGGGAGUACGGCCGCAAGGCUAAAACUCAAAGGAAUUGA
rnacentral:rRNA from 1 species